rnacentral:rRNA from 1 species
GGACUCGCGGCUUAUCAGCUUGUUGGUGGGGUAGUGGCUUACCAAGGCUUUGACGGGUAGCCGGCCUGAGAGGGUGACCGGCCACAUUGGGACUGAGAUACGGCCCAGACUCCUACGGGAGGCAGCAGUGGGGAAUAUUGCACAAUGGGCGGAAGCCUGAUGCAGCAACGCCGCGUGCGGGAUGACGGCCUUCGGGUUGUAAACCGCUUUCGCCUGUGACGAAGCGUGAGUGACGGUAAUGGGUAAAGAAGCACCGGCUAACUACGUGCCAGCAGCCGCGGUGAUACGUAGGGUGCGAGCGUUGUCCGGAUUUAUUGGGCGUAAAGGGCUCGUAGGUGGUUGAUCGCGUCGGAAGUGUAAUCUUGGGGCUUAACCCUGAGCGUGCUUUCGAUACGGGUUGACUUGAGGAAGGUAGGGGAGAAUGGAAUUCCUGGUGGAGCGGUGGAAUGCGCAGAUAUCAGGAGGAACACCAGUGGCGAAGGCGGUUCUCUGGGCCUUUCCUGACGCUGAGGAGCGAAAGCGUGGGGAGCGAACAGGCUUAGAUACCCUGGUAGUCCACGCUGUAAACGGUGGGUACUAGGUGUGGGGUCCAUUCCACGGGUUCCGCGCCGUAGCUAACGCUUUAAGUACCCCGCCUGGGGAG